rnacentral:rRNA from 1 species
UUGGUCAUUUAGAGGAAGUAAAAGUCGUAACAAGGUUUCCGUAGGUGAACCUGCGGAAGGAUCAUUAGCGAAGCUCGGAAUGCGUGUCCGGUCUGAUGCUGCCCAGCAAUGGGAUGUGCUCGUCUGGAUGCGUGUCCCUUCUCUAUUCCACCCCUUUGUGAACCAAGUGUGCGAGCCGAAGAGAGAUCGGAGGCUCGCAUGCAACCCUUAACAUACCCCAAUGAAGUAUCAGAAUGUACCUUGCGUUAACUCGCACAAAUACAACUUUCAACAACGGAUCUCUUGGCUCUCGCAUCGAUGAAGAACGCAGCGAAAUGCGAUAAGUAAUGUGAAUUGCAGAAUUCAGUGAAUCAUCGAAUCUUUGAACGCACCUUGCGCCCCUUGGCAUUCCGAGGGGCACGCCUGUUUGAGUGUCGUGAACUCCUCCACCCUCUACCUUUUUCGAAAGAUAUUGGGCUGGGAUUUGGGAGCUUGCAGGUCCCUGGUUGAUCUGCUCUCCUUGAAUACAUUAGCGGAGCCCUUCGCGGCCUUGGUGUGAUAAUUAUCUGCGCCUUGGCUUAGCGAACCUAUAGGGACUUGCUUACAACCGUCUCGCAAGAGACAAUCACUUCAAACUUGACCUCAAAUCAGGCGGGACUACCCGCUGAACUUAAGCAUAUCAAUAAG